AUUCUAUCUACAGCUGCUGACGUUUCCAGUUACCAUGCAGGAAGACAGGUAGGAGGAGAUCAUCAUAUGGAUUCUGGCAAAGAGAUUUGCAGAGUGUCGGGUGACCGGCAAAGAGAUCUGCAAAGUGUCAGUUGAAGACGACGGGAGGGGUCGCAGAGGCAGCAAGGACUGGAGUAUAACAUGCAGAAGUGGGUGAUGCCUGAAUUUCCUGGGAGGAGAGCCUGCGGACACCUGCUCCAAAUGUUGGGACUUAUGUAUUACCUAUGAGGAGAUACGGUAAAGAUGCCAGCCGUCGGGUUUACGGCAGUCAGAAUACUGACACUGGGAUCCCGACACUCUUCAGAAUCCCGAUGUUGGAACUCCGAAUAUGCAAGGAUACUGAUGCCCAUAUCCCCACGAUCCUAGGUUUGGGGCGGGGGGGUGAGGUUUAGGCAUCA